CAGACUAUUCCCAGGCAGCUGACUUCCACAUCCUUGUGAUUGGCCUCCAGGGGCAUGAGGGAAAAGGAGAGAAUGAAUCAGCCAAAAUCCCAUCACUAUCCUUGGAAAAAAUGCCAUGUGAUGUUAUAUUCUAAAAUUUGCAAGUUGGAGCUGAAAAUAAUCAGCGGAAUUUGCAUUAAAUUUUGUUAAAGGACAAGUGGAUUCAAUUGACCAUGAGAGAUACAAAAGGGAGUUCCUAUUAUCAUCAUUUUGGGAGGUUAAGCCUUUUCUAAACCCCAGAGCUCAUAAGCAAUGGAGCUGAGACUGUAACCCUGACCUACCUACCUUCAAAGACCAUACUGUUUCCACUAAGUCAAACUACCUUAAAAAUACUUAUUCCUUUUGGCUCAGUAAGUCACCUUUUGGGAAUCUACAUGGAAUCUGAAAUGUACGAGAUAAGCCUGGGACAUUUUGAGAUGCAA
rnacentral:lncRNA from 1 species